AUUGAACGCUGGCGGCAGGCCUAACACAUGCAAGUCGAGCGAGCGGCGGACGGGUGAGAAAUGUCUGGGAAACUGCCUGUUGUGGGGGGAUAUCGACUGGAAACGGUAGCUAAUACCGCACAUCCUCUCAUGUGCCCAGAUGGGAUUAGCUAGUAGGUGGGGUAAUGGCUCACCUAGGCGACGAUCCCUAGCUGGUCUGAGAGGAUGACCAGCCACACUGGAACUGAGACACGGUCCAGACUCCUACGGGAGGCAGCAGUGGGGAAUAUUGCACAAUGGGCGCAAGCCUGAUGCAGCCAUGCCGCGUGUAUGAAGAAGGCCUUCGGGUUGUAAAGUACUUUCAGUCGGGAGGCGUUACCGACAGAAGAAGCACCGGCUAACUCCGUGCCAGCCGCCGCGGUAAUUC
rnacentral:rRNA from 1 species